AUGAUGUUGUUUGGACCCGUAUACAACCAUAAGUCGGCUACAUAAAGGCCCCGUGGAAGCUUAUAGCUAAUACAAGUGGCGUGUACGAAAACUGAUAAAUUUGAUGCUUAAAGGCAAAUUGGAUGGUUUCACCCACCCAGUUGGACUCCCGGAGGGUAUCAGGGUCUAUAGGUAGCUUCUCGGCAAUUUUUGUUUCCGGGUCAAAAAAAGAUAAAAUUGGCAAAAUUGAAGGCUAUAAUACACGCAUUUUGGCCAAUUUCAGAGGUUUCGGGACCCGAUGUUGAAAAGUCUCGAGAUACCAGGGGAUAAAUCCCAAGGUCAUUUAAUGUCGUUUGGAACCAUAUAUGAUCAUUAUAUGUUGCCAUAAAUGUUCGUGGUAGCCUCGAGUUUAUGAAAUCGAUGUAAGUUGUAAACGGGUCAAUUGACAGUUCUAAGGUAUAUUGGAUGGUUUUAUCCACCCAAAUGGACUCCCGGGGUGUAAAAGGGUCCAUGGGAAGCACCUCGGCAAUUUUUAUUUCCGGGUCAAAAAAAGUGAAAAUUUGUCCAAAAUUGAAGGCUAUAAUACACGAUUUCGGGUCAAUUUUUGACAUUUUUUCAAAAAUUGAACCGACUACGUGGGGUGACUCUCGGGGUCAUAUAUGGUGGUUUGAAACCAUAACACACCUAUAAAGAUGUCUAUAAAGUACUAAGAAUGAGUUAUGUUCCUGUUUUGAAAUUUUGGAAUAUAAUGAUGUCACAAAAGUAUAUUGAAGUGAUAUUACUUGACGAUAAUGAUGUCAUAUGAAUAUAAUUGUUUCAUAUGAAUAUAGUCGGGUUACGGUGCCCAACUACGCGCUAACCUGGAUCCCACAAAGGGUGUUGGUCGAUUAAGACAGCAGGACGGUGGUCAUGGAAGUCNAAAUCCGCUAAGGAGUGUGUAACAACUCACCCACUGAAUCAACUAGCCCCGAAAAUGGAUGGCGCUGAAGCGCGUGACCUAUACCCGGCCGUCGGGGCAAGUGCCAGGUCCCGAUGAGUAGAAGGGGACAGCGAUCGCUGUCAAACCUGUGGCGUGAGCCACGGCAGAGCGGUCGUUGGUGCAGAUCUUAGUGUUUGUAGUAGAAAAUAUUCAAAUGAGAACUUCAAAGAUCAAAGACGGGAAAGGUUCCAUGUGAACGAUACUUGAACAUGGGUUAGUCGAUCCUAAGAGACAGGGGAAGCCUGUCCGAUAGCGCGUUUUGCGCGAGCUUCGAAAGGAAAUUGGAUUAAAAUUCCUUAACCGGGAUGUAGAGGUUGACGGCAACGUUGGGAUGUUCGAAGACGUCGGCGAGGGCCUUGGGAAAAGUUAUCUUUUCUAUUUAAUAGCCUUCCCACCCUGGAAUCGGCUCAGUUGGAGGUAGGGUCCAGCGAAUGGAAGAGCACCGCACAUUUUGUGGUGUCCGAUGCGCCCCCGGCGACCCUUGAAAAUCUGGAGGACCAAGAGCCGACCACGCUCGGUCUUACUCAUAACCGCAUCAGGUCUCCAAGGUGAACAACCUCUGGUCAAUGGAACAAUGUAGGCAAGGGAAGUCGGCAAAAUGCAUCCUUAACUUCGGGAAAAGGAUUGGCUCUGAGGGAUGGACACGGGGGUCCCAGUCCUAAACCCAUCGGCUAUUGGCAGACUGCUCGAGCUGCUUCCAUGACGAGAGCAAGUUACCGCGUUCCGGCCGGGAGACGGACUGGGAAUGGUCCCUUCAGGGGCCUUCCGCUAGCGUCGAAAUGUCAACUCGAAACUGGUACAAACAAGGGGAAUCCGACUGUUUUAUUAAAACAAUGCAUUGCAAUGGUCCCUGCGGAUGUUAACGCAAUGUGAUUUCUGCCNAGUGCUCUGAAUGUCAAAGUGAAGAAAUUCAACCAAGCGCGGGAAAACGGCGGGAGUAACUAUGACUCUCUUAAGGUAGCCAAAUGCCUCGUCAUCUAAUUAGAGACGCGCAUGAAUGGAUUAACGAGAUUCCCACUGUCCCUGUCUACUAUCCAGCGAAACCACAACCAAGGGAACGGGCUUGGCAAAAUCAGCAGGGAAAAAAGACCCUGUUGAGCUUGACUCUAGUCCGACUUUGUGAAAUGAAUUGAGAGGUGUAGGAUAAGUCGGAGCUUCGGCGCAAGUGAAAUACCACUACUUUUAACGCUUAUUUACUUACUUUGUGAGUCUGAAGCGGGGCAAUGACCUUCCUUUUAGACCUGAGGUCCUCUUUGCGGGCCGAUCCGGGCGGAGAACAUUGUUAGGUAGGAAGUUUGGCUAGGACGGCACAUCUGUUAAAAGAUAACGCAGGUGUCCUAAGAUGAGCUCAACGAGAACAGAAAUCUCAUGUGGAAUAGAAGGGUAAAAGUUCGUUUGAUUUGGAUUUUCAAUACGAAUACGAACCGUGAAAGCGUGGCCUAACGAUCCUUUAGACAUUUUGAAGUUAAAGCUAGAGGUAUCAGAAAAGUUACCACAGGGAUAACUGGCUUGUCGCAGCCAAACGUUCAUAGUGACGUUGCUUUUUGCUCCUUCGAUGUCGGUUCUUCCUAUCAUUGUGAAGCNGAAUUCACCAAGUGUUGGAUUGUUUACCCACCAAAAGGGAACGUGAGCUGGGUUUAGACCGUCGUGAGACAGGUUAGUUUUACCCUACUGAUGACAGUGUCGCAAUGGUAAUUCAACCUAGUACNAGAGGAACCGUUGAUUCACACAAUUGGUCAUCGCGCUUGGUUGAAAAGCCAAUGGCGUAAAGCUACUGUGUGCUGGAUUAUGACUAAACGCCUCAAAGAGAGAAUCCGGGCAAAAAGCGAUGCAUGCGCCCGCCGCCCGAUUUCCGUCCUAUAGUAGGGGUUUUGGCCCCCAAGGGCACGUGUCGUAGGCUAAGCUCACGCGGUGGAUGCGCCUUGAGAGCUGCCUUGAAGUACAAUUCCUACCGAGCGGCGGGUUGAAU
rnacentral:rRNA from 1 species